rnacentral:rRNA from 1 species
GAUGAACGCUGGCGGCGUGCCUAAUACAUGCAAGUCGAGCGAACAGACGAGGAGCUUGCUCCUCUGACGUUAGCGGCGGACGGGUGAGUAACACGUGGAUAACCUACCUAUAAGACUGGGAUAACUUCGGGAAACCGGAGCUAAUACCGGAUAAUAUAUUGAACCGCAUGGUUCAAUAGUGAAAGACGGUUUUGCUGUCACUUAUAGAUGGAUCCGCGCCGCAUUAGCUAGUUGGUAAGGUAACGGCUUACCAAGGCAACGAUGCGUAGCCGACCUGAGAGGGUGAUCGGCCACACUGGAACUGGAACACGGUCCAGACUCCUACGGGAGGCAGCAGUAGGGAAUCUUCCGCAAAGGGCGAAAGCCUGACGGAGCAACGCCGCGUGAGUGAUGAAGGUCUUCGGAUCGUAAAACUCUGUUAUUAGGGAAGAACAAAUGUGUAAGUAACUAUGCACGUCUUGACGGUACCUAAUCAGAAAGCCACGGCUAACUACGUG